rnacentral:rRNA from 1 species
CCUACGGGAGGCAGCAGUAAGGAAUAUUGGACAAUGGGCGGAAGCCUGAUCCAGCCAUGCCGCGUGAAGGACGAAGGCGCUACGCGUCGUAAACUUCUUUUGAAUGGGGACAAAAGGCCGGACGUGUCCGGUUUUGAGGGUACCAUUAGAAUAAGCACCGGCUAACUCUGUGCCAGCAGCCGCGGUAAUACAGAGGGUGCGAGCGUUAUCCGGAAUUACUGGGUUUAAAGGGUGCGUAGGCCGUUUGGCAAGUCUGUCGUGAAAUACACCGGCUCAACCGGAUGAACUGCGAUGGAAACUGCCGGACUUGAAUUGUGGUGAGGCUGGCGGAAUGUGGCAUGUAGCGGUGAAAUGCAUAGAUAUGCCAUAGAACACCGAUUGCGAAGGCAGCUGGCCAACCAUUGAUUGACGCUGAGGCACGAAAGUGUGGGGAGCAAACAGGAUUAGAUACCCUGGUAGUCCACACCCUAAACGAUGUUUACUCGUUGUUUGCUUUUAGGAGUGAGCGACCAAGCGAAAGCGUUAAGUAAACCACCUGGGGAGUACGCCGGCAACGGUGAAACUCAAAGGAAUUGACGG